UGUUUGGUGCGUUGGGGCUUUUCUCGCUGAAUAUUCUCCUCUACUGUGGACACGCUCAAGAUGCUUUGCUGCAUAUUGAGCCAAACUGGUCCCCUUUAUUUACUGGAGAGAAAGUUUCCUUCAUAUGUGACUCAAGGGAAGGAAACGACACUGACUGGAAUUACUCAUUCAGUAGGAAUGAUCAUUUAUUUACCACCAACAGAACAGUGAAUAGAUAUAAAUCAUCAUCUCUAACUAGAGGAGAUAGUAGUGAAUAUCAGUGUGUUGCUGAUCACAAGAUCCGUCCUGUUACAAGAGAAAGUAAUAAAGUCUCUCUAACUGUAUCAGAUAAGUGAUAAAAGAUU